rnacentral:rRNA from 1 species
GGAUCCAGACUUUGAUCAUGGCUCAGGAUGAACGCUAGCUACAGGCUUAACACAUGCAAGUCGAGGGGAAACGACAUUGAAAGCUUGCUUUUGAUGGGCGUCGACCGGCGCACGGGUGAGUAACGCGUAUCCAACCUGCCCACCACUUGGGGAUAACCUUGCGAAAGUAAGACUAAUACCCAAUGACGUCUCUAGAAGACAUCUGAAGGAGAUUAAAGAUUUAUCGGUGAUGGAUGGGGAUGCGUCUGAUUAGCUUGUUGGCGGGGUAACGGCCCACCAAGGCGACGAUCAGUAGGGGUUCUGAGAGGAAGGUCCCCCACAUUGGAACUGAGACACGGUCCAAACUCCUACGGGAGGCAGCAGUGAGGAAUAUUGGUCAAUGGACGAGAGUCUGAACCAGCCAAGUAGCGUGCAGGAUGACGGCCCUAUGGGUUGUAAACUGCUUUUAUAAGGGAAUAAAGUGAGUCUCGUGAGACUUUUUGCAUGUACCUUAUGAAUAAGGACCGGCUAAUUCCGUGCCAGCAGCCGCGGUAAUACGGAAGGUCCGGGCGUUAUCCGGAUUUAUUGGGUUUAAAGGGAGCGUAGGCCGGAGAUUAAGCGUGUUGUGAAAUGUAGACGCUCAACGUCUGCACUGCAGCGCGAACUGGUUUCCUUGAGUACGCACAAAGUGGGCGGAAUUCGUGGUGUAGCGGUGAAAUGCUUAGAUAUCACGAAGAACUCCGAUUGCGAAGGCAGCUCACUGGAGCGCAACUGACGCUGAAGCUCGAAAGUGCGGGUAUCGAACAGGAUUAGAUACCCUGGUAGUCCGCACGGUAAACGAUGGAUGCCCGCUGUUGGUCUGAAUAGGUCAGCGGCCAAGCGAAAGCAUUAAGCAUCCCACCUGGGGAGUACGCCGGCAACGGUGCAACUCAAAGGAAUUGACGG